AAAGGCAUGGGGCGUGCUAUACAUGCAGUCGAGCGAAAGACGAGGAGCUUGCUCCUUUGACGUUAGCGGCGGACGGGUGAGUAACACGUGGGUAACCUACCUAUAAGACUGGGAUAACUUCGGGAAACCGGAGCUAAUACCGGAUAAUAUUUCGAACCGCAUGGUUCGAUAGUGAAAGAUGGCUUUGCUAUCACUUAUAGAUGGACCUGCGCCGUAUUAGCUAGUUGGUAAGGUAACGGCUUACCAAGGCAACGAUACGUAGCCGACCUGAGAGGGUGAUCGGCCACACUGGAACUGAGACACGGUCCAGACUCCUACGGGAGGCAGCAGUAGGGAAUCUUCCGCAAUGGGCGAAAGCCUGACGGAGCAACGCCGCGUGAGUGAUGAAGGUCUUCGGAUCGUAAAACUCUGUUAUUAGGGAAGAACAAACGUGUAAGUAACUGUGCACGUCUUGACGGUACCUAAUCAGAAAGCCACGGCUAACUACGUGCCAGCAGCCGCGGUAAUACGUAGGUGGCAAGCGUUAUCCGGAAUUAUUGGGCGUAAAGCGCGCGUAGGCGGUUUUUUAAGUCUGAUGUGAAAGCCCACGGCUCAACCGUGGAGGGUCAUUGGAAACUGGAAAACUUGAGUGCAGAAGAGGAAAGUGGAAUUCCAUGUGUAGCGGUGAAAUGCGCAGAGAUAUGGAGGAACACCAGUGGCGAAGGCGACUUUCUGGUCUGUAACUGACGCUGAUGUGCGAAAGCGUGGGGAUCAAACAGGAUUAGAUACCCUGGUAGUCCACGCCGUAAACGAUGAGUGCUAAGUGUUAGGGGGUUUCCGCCCCUUAGUGCUGCAGCUAACGCAUUAAGCACUCCGCCUGGGGAGUACGACCGCAAGGUUGAAACUCAAAGGAAUUGACGGGGACCCGCACAAGCGGUGGAGCAUGUGGUUUAAUUCGAAGCAACGCGAAGAACCUUACCAAAUCUUGACAUCCUUUGACCCUUCUAGAGAUAGAAGUUUCCCCUUCGGGGGACAAAGUGACAGGUGGUGCAUGGUUGUCGUCAGCUCGUGUCGUGAGAUGUUGGGUUAAGUCCCGCAACGAGCGCAACCCUUAAGCUUAGUUGCCAUCAUUAAGUUGGGCACUCUAAGUUGACUGCCGGUGACAAACCGGAGGAAGGUGGGGAUGACGUCAAAUCAUCAUGCCCCUUAUGAUUUGGGCUACACACGUGCUACAAUGGACAAUACAAAGGGCAGCGAAACCGCGAGGUCAAGCAAAUCCCAUAAAGUUGUUCUCAGUUCGGAUUGUAGUCUGCAACUCGACUACAUGAAGCUGGAAUCGCUAGUAAUCGUAGAUCAGCAUGCUACGGUGAAUACGUUCCCGGGUCUUGUACACACCGCCCGUCACACCACGAGAGUUUGUAACACCCGAAGCCGGUGGAGUAACCAUUGGAGCUAGCCGUCGAAGGUGGGAAAAAAAGGUUUGGGG
rnacentral:rRNA from 1 species